rnacentral:sRNA from 1 species
UUCCUCAGUGCUGAGGAUCGUGACCUUCGC